CUUGUUUUUUUAUCCUGUCUUUCCUGUUUCAGUUAAUAUUUCUUGUCUUCUGCUAGCUCUAGGUGUUUACUAUUUUUUUUUGGUGGGAUUGCUGGAUGAGUUUGAUUUAAUUAUUUGGAACUAAACUAAUCAAAUUGCAAUGGAUGCUUAUUGCUUAGUACUAUUUCUGUGUUGUAUAUUGACAUCUUUGCAGACUCAAACACAAUACAAGGAAUUCCAGAGCAAGGCAUACAUCACCACCAAGAUGGUAGAAUGUCCUCUGAACAUUUCUGGAACCCAAACUUGCAAACAUCAGGAUGUUUGACUAGAUGGAGCAAGUAAUGUUUUUUGUGAGAGCAACGACAGAUCAAACUUGUCUCUCUUGAAAUUUAUAAUUUCGUUGACCACAAGGUUCUACCUAAUCCAUUUCUCCCCUGCAUCAGUUCUCCCCAGCUGUCCAAUCAUGCAUCAAGGUGGCAGAGAAACCGGUGCAAUGCAUGCAUUGAUGAGUUGAACCCCCGAGUGAUGGUGGCAAAUACUGUAGCUCAUGGUGGGUAAGCCUCAGCUUCAAAAGAUUUUUAUCCACCUGCUGUCAGCGAAGCCAUCACGACCCCUCAUAUGCCACAUGAACUGAUCCCUCCCCCAAAACUGUGAGCUCUGGUUGCAGACCAGAGCAGCACAGUUCUGCUUGUCUCUCGGUGGGGGCAACCUGCAGAUGGCAAACCAGGUGAUGGUAUCACCAAAACCAUGAGGAGGCCAUGUGAUGACGACACUGCUGCCAGUACAAACUGCUGGGAGUAGCUGCAGCCAUUGGCACAAAAUAAUGUGACUCACAUCAUGCUGCUUUGCUUUACAGGACCAUGCUCGCUGCUUCCUUCCUUCCUUGAAAGCCACAUCGGUAGCUCCUCCUUCUAACCCCAUUAUAUUUAAUCUCCUUAGCUAGCUGGAUCGACAAAGAUUAAAGAUACUUAGCUGGAUUGACCUCCUUAGUCUUUUCUAAUCCCCAACCGCGCACAAUGAUUCCAAAAAGAAGUCCUCAUGCAAGGAGGUGGUGAUUGCUCUCAUGGCAACGCCACCCAACACCAUCAACUCUGUCCGCCGCAGCUGAAUGCGGCCACCUAACACGAGACUUGUAUUUGUGGUCGGAUCGGAACUCGAUGUGACAGAAUAAGCCUAAGUUUCAGUUUGAAGUUUAUAUGGAUGA